UCUGAGAAGUGCCCAGGUGACAGGCCCAGGU
rnacentral:piRNA from 1 species